GGAGGCAGAAAUGGUUUGUCCCGGCUUCAAAUCCGUGAAGGUGUAGGAAUGGCCUGAGGGGAGGUGGAUACUCCUCUGCUUCC
rnacentral:tRNA from 1 species